UCAGACCAUAGAUAAUCUAGAAGACAGCGCGCUAGCGUGUCUAGUCUAUGUAUAUGUAUGGUCGGCACGUCUGGUAGCCUCUGUGGCUGCUGUUGAUCUUGUUUUUGGAGUAAAACACGGUGGAAGCUGAAUUAGUGAGGAUGACUCCUGCUCCUGUCAUCUCUAAGCUCCUCACACAUCUUUACCUGCACAUGAGGAAAAUCACUCCUGUAGAAUGCAGAUGUUCAGAGGGAGAUGAUGCCACAUCUGGUCCAGCUGAUGGAAGGUCUUGAAGUUCUCUGACUGGCCUCGACUGAAGAUGGUCGUCUCACUGGAUUUAAGGUUCAGAUGCUCAGUAACAAACUCCACCAAUGAGCCAACAAGGAAGCUUUAGGUUUAUUAAAUGUUGCUAUGAAGGUAUCACUGUUUUUCUUUGUGAAUGCAAUGUGCUCCAACUGAAACUUGAAUUAGAACUUACAAGUAAAUCCUUCCAUCUGAAAGGAUUUAGUUGCAUUAAUAACCUCAUAACAUUCUAAUUUUUAUUCCAGUCUUGGCUGGAAAUAGAAUCUCUGUAUUGAUUCAGGUAAAAACUGAACUUCACAGCAUGUUGGAGCAAAACAACCAGAUGAAAACUGUGAAGGUGUUGGAUUGUCAGGCUGUAAUGUUGCAGCUCAAAGCAGCUUUUCUAGCUCAGUUCAUUCUGACAUUCAGCUAUGAAUCAACACAGCAGAUGGUGAUCCAUGCUGUGGAAGUCUCACAUCUCCUGAUUUAAUGGAGCUGCUUUGCACUUUUUACACUGUUUAUUCACCAACACUUUAUUUAAUAAAAGUCCCAUCUAGUUUUUAUGAGGAAUGUGAUGUUUUAAUUCCUCUGUGAAUAACUGCAGUCUAAUGCAACAGCUGGAAUUGUAACAUCUGUCCUGAUAUUGAUCAUGAAGUAUUGAUCAGAGUACUGAUGGUCAGCAGUCAUCCCUGAAGUUUUACAUUAAAAUCUUUACUUGUGUUGUGAACUUUGGUAAGAAGCAGAAACUUUUGCGUUGCCAUGGAUACAUGAGUGUUAAAUUCUGUCCAUGUUUCCAUUUUGGGAAAUGCAGUCCAGUUCCAGAAUGUGGAGGAAUUUAGUCUCACAAUCACAGACAACAAAUAUUAUCUGAACUCUACAAUAUUAUUUGACACAAAUCUAUCUAAAUCAAAAUUUUAAUAAUUUUCACUCCAAACAUUUACUGGACUGAUUUAAACAUUAAAAUCACUCCUUUCUAAUCCUCUGCUGUACGUUCAAACCUGAGGCCUUAAAUAGAAACACACAAGUAUCUGUUUGAAGGAACUUCUGCAGAGUCCUGGUUCCAGAACAUGAUGAUAGAAUUAUAGACAAACUUUAACAAAAGCUGCCUGAGAGUUUACAAGUUUUUAUGUUGGAUUUCUUCAGUAAUUUAAUGAGUGUUAUUAGCAAAAAUCAAGUGUUCAUUUGAUGAACUUGAUUUCCUAAAACAUACAGAAUUGGAGCUCAUAUCUUUGGCAGCUGUAAAGUUUCUGCUCCUUCAAAGUUCACAACACAAUGAAUGAAUUCCUAAAACACUCUCAAUGCUGGAGAGCGUUUGAUGCUGAAGCAGUGAUCAGUUUUUCUGUUUCUUCUCUGGAGAUGCACAAUGAGGGACGUCUGCAGAGACUGAGAAAGAGUCUCACCACAUCCUGACAUGAGGAAAAAGACUUUAUUGAAGACUACAAUGAGAAAAACUAUCAGACAGCAGAUGGCUGCAUUCAAGCUGCUGAAUUCAUGGAUGAAUCAUCUGGCACUAGAGAAGAAGACCAUCAAACAUCCAUGUCAGCUGAUGGAGGUCCAAGAGUCUCACCAAACAAACAACCUACAGAGUGAAGACCUCAAAUCUGAUUGGACGGCCUCCUAUUCAGCCACGUGUGAACAAAUGCCUCUAAGUUGAUUUGUUUUCUAAAAUAAAUCUAGUUUGAGUCCUAA